rnacentral:rRNA from 1 species
CCUACGGGUGGCAGCAGUGAGGAAUAUUGGUCAAUGGGCGGAAGCCUGAACCAGCCAAGUCGCGUGAGGGAAUAAGGCCCUACGGGUCGUAAACCUCUUUUGCCGGGGAGCAAGGGCGGGUCGUGUCCCGGCCCUGAGAGUACCCUGUGAAAAAGCAUCGGCUAACUCCGUGCCAGCAGCCGCGGUAAUACGGAGGAUGCGAGCGUUAUCCGGAUUUUUUGGGUUUAAAGGGUGCGUAGGCGGGCUUUUAAGUCAGCGGUAAAAAUUCGGGGCUCAACCCCGGACGGCAGUUGAAACUGGGGGCCGUGAGUGGGCGAGAAGAAGGCGGAAUGCGUGGUGUAGCGGUGAAAUGCAUAGAUAUCACGCAGAACCCCGAUUGCGAAGGCAGCCUUCCGGAGCCCGACUGACGCUGAGGCACGAAAGUGUGGGUAUCGAACAGGAUUAGAUACCCCAGUAGUC